GACGAACGCUGGCGGCGUGCUUAACACAUGCAAGUCGAACGGAAAGGCCCUGCUUUUGUGGGGUGCUCGAGUGGCGAACGGGUGAGUAACACGUGAGUAACCUGCCCUUGACUUUGGGAUAACUUCAGGAAACUGGGGCUAAUACCGGAUAGGAGCUCCUGCUGCAUGGUGGGGGUUGGAAAGUUUCGGCGGUUGGGGAUGGACUCGCGGCUUAUCAGCUUGUUGGUGGGGUAGUGGCUUACCAAGGCUUUGACGGGUAGCCGGCAUGAGAGGGUGACCGGGCACAUUGGGACUGAGAUACGGCCCAGACUCCUACGGGAGGCAGCAGUGGGGAAUAUUGCACAAUGGGCGGAAGCCUGAUGCAGCAACGCCGCGUGCGGGAUGACGGCCUUCGGGUUGUAAACCGCUUUCGCCUGUGACGAAGCGUGAGUGACGGUAAUGGGUAAAGAAGCACCGGCUAACUACGUG
rnacentral:rRNA from 1 species